UACGUAGGGGGCAAGCGUUGUCCGGAAUUAUUGGGCGUAAAGCGCGCGUAGGCGGUUAUUCAAGUCGGAUGUGAAAGCCCUCGGCUUAACUGCGGAAGUGCACCCGAAACUGAGUAGCUAGAGUACCAAAGAGGGUCGCGGAAUUCCCGGUGUAGAGGUGAAAUUCGUAGAUAUCGGGAGGAACACCGGUGGCGAAGGCGGCGACCUGGGUGGAUACUGACGCUGAGGCGCGAAAGCGUGGGGAGCAAACAGG
rnacentral:rRNA from 1 species